rnacentral:rRNA from 1 species
UACGUAGGGUGCAAGCGUUGUCCGGAAUUAUUGGGCGUAAAGAGCUCGUAGGCGGUUUGUUGCGUCGGCUGUGAAAUCCCGAGGCUCAAACCUCGGGUCUGCAGUCGAUACGAGCAAACUAGAGUGUUGCAGGGGAGACUGGAAUUCCUGGUGUAGCGGUGAAAUGCGCAGACUAUCAGGAGGAACACCGGUGGCGAAGGCGGGUCUCUGGGCCGUAACUGACGCUGAGGAGCGAAAGCGUGGGGAGCGAACAGG